GACGAACGCUGGCGGCGUGCUUAACACAUGCAAGUCGAACGCUGAACCCGCUUCGGUGGGGGAUGAGUGGCGAACGGGUGAGUAACACGUGGGCAACCUGCCCCCGGCUCUGGGAUAACUCCAAGAAAUUGGGGCUAAUACCGGAUGUGACCGCUGGCCGCAUGGUCUGGUGGUGGAAAGGGUUUCCGGCUGGGGAUGGGCCCGCGGCCUAUCAGCUUGUUGGUGGGGUAGUGGCCUACCAAGGCGACGACGGGUAGCCGGCCUGAGGGGGUGACCGGCCACACUGGGACUGAGACACGGCCCAGACUCCUACGGGAGGCAGCAGUGGGGAAUAUUGCGCAAUGGGCGGAAGCCUGACGCAGCGACGCCGCGUGGGGGAUGACGGCCUUCGGGUUGUAAACCUCUUUCAGCAGGGACGAAGCGCAAGUGACGGUACCUGCAGAAGAAGCACCGGCCAACUACGUG
rnacentral:rRNA from 1 species